AGCACCUCUGGCCACACUGGGGGGACACUGGGCUCCCUGCAGCCCGGGGUCGCACGCACCUGCCACAUCUGUCCGGGAGCGCUGCCUGACCGCGCCUCCCUUUCUUGUCUAGGGAGCUGGUGGUUCUUCUCUCCGCGGGGCGUGGAAUUUCGUGGUCUUCCGCACCUGCGGGCCCCGGGAGCGUGCGGGCAGGUGCGGGGCAGGAAGGCCGAAAGGCUGCAGGUAGGCCGGGGUGGGGUUGAGGCUGCCUGUGACGGCGGCGGUGACCACGCACUAGGUAACACAUCCUGAGGGUGGGGCGCCCGCGUGGCUGGUCGGAGCGCAGGCCGAUGAGCGGCGGUGAGCCCUUCAGAGGACCCCAGGCCACUAGCAGUUAUGAUGUGCUCUUUCAGUUCAUCAGUUACCGAAAAGCCCGAGGCACUGGGUACCCCUUCUCCUAGUUGGUGGGUCACCCAGUUUAUCUCACAGCUCUGGAGAAUUGGAGAGCUACUAGUAGCCUGCUGAGCGCUAGAUCAGAGAAGGGGACACUCUCAAGCCCGAAAUUAUGGAUAAACCAAAGGAUGAAGAAUUUGGAAAGGGGGAAAGUCCUGGUCUAUAUAAAGAGAGGAUGAAAAUUUUCCGAUGUCACGGGAAAAGCCACCGUCUUCCUUCAAAUCAGUACACCAGCCGUGUUUGGCUUUUCUUGGUGCUUGUUGCUUUCUGCAGAACUGAAUAUUAAAAACUUAUUGGUUUUCG
rnacentral:lncRNA from 1 species